UACGGAGGUGGUUAGCGUUGCUCGGAAUUACUGGGCGUAAAGCGCACGUAGGCGGAUUAGUCAGUCAGAGGUGAAAUCCCAGGGCUCAACCUUGGAACUGCCUUUGAUACUGCUAGUCUUGAGUUCGAGAGAGGUGGGUGGAAUUGCGAGUGUAGAGGUGAAAUUCGUAGAUAUUCGCAGGAACACCAGUGGCGAAGGCGGCUCACUGGCUCGAUACUGACGCUGAGGUGCGAAAGUGUGGGUAGCAAACAGG
rnacentral:misc_RNA from 1 species